CCGGUUACCCAGUUCAUUCAUUCGUCUGAGGGUAUUUAUCCAAAUUUUAGUCAUUUAAAAUGCAGGGAAAACUACGAAAUUUGAAGACAUAAUGAGGAUUUCGAAGGAAUUGAGCAGAUGUGAAGGUCCUUUCGCGAAAAAAAAAGGAGAAAAUAAAUAAAGGGACGUGGAGUAAACAGUCUCGAGGAAUUGGCAUGACUCUGGAGCUGUCAUGUCUAGAGGCUCAACGAAAAAUCGACGGUAAACCUGAGAGAAAAAAAAGGGGAUAACAAUAAUAAUGGCGAAAUGGUUAUUAUCUUUGGGCUCUCGAGGUUUCCCUGAUGGUCGGACCCAG